rnacentral:snoRNA from 1 species
GAGCAAUGAUGGCUAUGUCUCGUUCGGUGUAUUGGCGAAAUUACCAACCAAGCCAUGCCGACAAAAUUUUUAUAUCACCACUCACAAUCUGAGCUC